CAUCAACCUAACGUCAGGUCACCGAUGAUCUGAUAAUCUAUAAUCCACAGAGGACCAUCAGCCUAACGUCAGGUCACUUAUGAUCUGAUAAUCUAUAAUCCACAGAGGACCAUCAGCCUAACGUCAGGUCACUGAUGAUCUGAUAAUCUAUAAUCCACAGAGGACCAUCAGCCUAACGUCAGGUCACUGAUGAUCUGAUAAUCUAUAAUCCACAGAGGACCAUCAGUCUAACGUCAGGUCACUGAUGAUCUGAUAAUCUAUAAUCCACAGAGGACCAUCAGCCUAAAGUCAGGUCACUGAUGAUCUGAUAAUCUAUAAUCCACAGAGGACCAUCAGCCUAAAGUCAGGUCACUGAUGCUCUGAUAAUCUAUAAUCCACAGAGGACCAUCAGCCUAACGUCAGGUCACUGAUGAUAUGAUAAUCUGUAAUCCACAGAGGACCAUCAGCCUAAUGUCAGGUCACUGAUGAUCUGAUAAUCUGUAAUCCACAGAGGAACAUCAGCUCAGAACAUUGAUUCUAUGGAUACAUACUGUAUACAGUUCACAUGAGAUUUAAAAUAAGGCAAUUGGGCUGUGUCUGCAGGACCAGCAGGGUUUGGGGAUUUAGGAGAUGUGUGUGUGUGUCUGUGUGUGUGUGUGUGUGUGUGUGUGUGUGUGUG